AUAUUUUGUGAACUUGUUAUGUCUAUAUGCAUAUUAUAUUCUAAAAGAAUACAAUUAAAAGAGAAUAAAUAAUAGAGAAAUUUGUUUUGUGGGGGAUUCUUCAUGUUAUCUGCGGGGGGGACCUGAAAUUUGUCCAAUACCCUUCAUUUCGGCCUGCCAUCCUCGCUGGGUUUCGCCAUUUCCCCGUCGUUAAUGUAUCUGUCCAUUGAGUGCGCAUCCACAUAAAUUACCUAACAAGUCAGAACAUUUAUUACCGUCACUCGAAAAGAAUCGCCCAGACCCAACACCGAUUUGGGCGAAAUGGCGACACUCAACUGAGGAUAAGCGUGGUAACCACCAAAUUCCUGAAACAUGUACCGCCUGAAAAAUUUUCAAACAAACAAGCGUGUAUCAUUUAAUAUUUUUUAAUGACGUCAUUUCAUUGUGCACAUGCAUUGAUAUUGUGUUUAAGGGGUUUGCAUAGCAGAAAUUGCAAGUCGAUUUGACACAAAAAAGAAAGUAACGUUCACCUUAGGUUACACUUACUACGGCAUUUACCAGAUAUCAAAUCAAUACUGCGCUAAAUACAAAUUAUGUCAAGACACGUGCGACUAUAUAUCGAAGAAUUCAACCAAAGCCCUUCGACGUUCGAUGAGCUGUGCAAACAAGAUCUACAACCAUCAUGAUCGGUUCUCACUAUGGUCAUCAUGGAAGACAAAUUGCCAAAACUACACGAUGAACUGCCCUUUCCAAAAUAUAAUCUAUAAUGAGUACAUCUACCCGCCGCGUUGGUACGUAAUACGUAUAAUUAAUCAUUUCUUUCGUAUUUGAAAUGUUUCAAUGUAUAUUAUCUACA